GUGAAGUUGUGAAAGGCAAAAACCCUUUUUCAUAAAAAAAAAGGGGGUUGUGAAUGGCAAGAAACUACUCCAAAGAAAGAAAAAAAAAAAAAACUACUCCAAGGAAACAUUGUUUGAAGCAACGCCUCCUGCUCGAGAAGGUGAAAUAUCUUGAAGAUUUCUCGAGCACCAAUACAUGACAGCCUGCUAAGUGCUGACUUGAGCGCAAAACAGUCCUUCAAUGAUCACUCUCCCCUUCUUUCGAAAUGUUUAUGCUUCGGAAGAGGAUUAUUAGUCAAUGGGCCUAAUCCAGGCUUUAAACUAAAUUUAAGACCCAACGAGAAGGAUUAUAGUUUCUUCUUCGUAGGAUUAGAUCUUUUGUAACGUAGGGUCUGGAAUCGAAGGGUAGUGAUGCAGAGAUUCGAAAAAGCAGCAUCAGGAGAAUUUCCGUUGAGGGAUACGACACCUCCCUUCGUAUGGAGGAUGUCGAUGAUGCUUUGAGAGAACACUUGGCUUCAUGUGGAAAAAUAAUUCAUGUUUCUAUUCCCAGAAACUAUGAAGAGACUAUUCUCUGCAGAUAUGCCUUCGUUUAUGUUAAUGAAGAAGAUGUAGAAAAGGCGCUGAGGCUUGAUGGAAAUGACAUGGGAUGACAGAUUUUACAAAUUAAGUCUUACCCGUUUCACGAAAAUCACCUUGAGAAUGACUUGGCUCCUAUGAAAGACGUCAAAGUCUAUUGGCCACAACAGACGUUGAAGGUUACGGGUUAUGACACUUCCCUUCCUGUCGAGGAUAUCGAGAUAGAGCUAGAGAAAUAUUUCUCUUCACAUGGUUCUUUUGUUUACCAAGAUGAAACCGCUUCUGGUGCUAUCAAAACCAAAGCUUACAUUUAUGUCCGAGGUCCAGAUGCUGUAGACAAGGCUCUGGAACUUAGUGGUCGUUCUGUGGAAGGCUUGAAUUUUGUAGUUACUAAAGUUUAUCCACUUCCAGAAAAUCCACUCCACCCAUGUCUGGCUUCAUUCACCCAAGUAACCUAACUCGCUUCACUAGGGAGCAGAUAGAAGAUCCAAAUCUAUAUUUCAUUACUGAGGGACAGCAGAAGAAGAGUGAUACAUCGGAGGGAAAUCAGAAGAAGAAGAAGAAGAAGAAGAGCAAGACCAGGGAGGGAAUUCAGAAGAAGAAGAAGAGUGAGACUAGGGAGGGAAAGCAGAAGAAGGGAGUAGAAGUCUCUCUCUGAGGAGAAGACGUGCUUAUGAUAUUAACUUCUGUGCAAUGUGUUGUCCAAAAAAAAAAAAAAAAACUUGUGUGCUAUGCAAACCUUCUUUUCUUUUGUCUGGAUAUUGAAUGUGUUAUGUUGUUUUAGUGUUUGAUGUUUAGCAACUAAAGACAUAUCAAAAUCUACAUUCCAGAAAUGUGUUCACGGCUAUUCCUAUAAUGGAUCCAAAUCCAAUCUUAACCAGAAGCUUCUUCAGUAGUGUCGAAGUCCAUCAAGCUCUAUCAACCUCUGUAAUUCCUCUUUUCUACUAUGCUUCUCUCCUCAAGAUUAUAGCCCAUCAUCGGUCUCAAUCUAGGAAACAUCUGCUUCUUUCUUUUAAGCCAGUAUCUCUCAAAGCCUAGCAGCAUCAUUAUGUCUCCCGAGAAUGAUCUCCAUAUAUCUUUGAGAUCAUCACAAAAUUAGCCGGGUGUCUUGGUUCAAGCUUUGACCAACUUGAUAUGCCAUUUUUUCUCUCCAGCAUUUUCUCCAAAACUCUUUCACAAGCUUCAGUGUCUCCACUAUUUGCCUAUCCUUCUAAAACGUGGCAUCAUAUUCCCCAUUUGAAUAUAGACGAAUACCGUAGUGUUCCAUAACACAGCGUCUCUCUCAGUGGACAGAUUUUAAAACCCCACCCAAAGCCGAGCCGACACCAAGUCCUUGUUAAGUAUAUACACAUUAAGUCCAAGUACAACUUUUUUUCUAACCACCUCAGAGAACACUUUAUAUCCGAUAAAUUUGCUUCAACUUGAGAUCAUAUGUUUGAUCCUUCUCUCUUUUUGAUCUCUACUUUUGAAUCUUCUACAAAAUACACGAUUUAGUUUCGUAACAUCUUAAUAUUUCAUUCUUGUUCACGCAAACUAUAUGUUAGUAUCCUUAGCAGUUUGUAAAAAAUGGACAAAAUUAACAUACCCACCUCUAGAACUCAGGUUGUUAACACACCCCCAACAUUUUUACUACUAAGCUAAAUGAAUUUUGGGAAAAGUUUGGUCAAAAUUUAUAUAUAUAUAUUUCUGAAAGCCGGAAUCCCUUGCUUCUGUAAAUUUAACAUACCCCCAACAUUUUUACCACUUAGUAUUAUCGUAUGUAUAUUUGCAGUUUUUUUUGUCAACACUGAAGUAAAUGGUUACAUACGUUGAAAACAAUAAACUUAUCCAAAUGAAAUAUACAAGGAUUUGAAACUAUAUAAGAAAAACUCAUUCCAACUAUGGGCUGGCUUUUAAAAGCCAUCAGUUAUUAACCGAUUAUUAAUAUAAACUGAGUAUUCACUAUUCAGGUUUGGGCUUGUUUAAAUAGGCCGUUUUAGUAUGAAUAAUUCGACUAAUGCAUUAUUCGACUAAUUCAUUAUUAACAACUGUUUGGGUCUAGACAAAUUAUCUAUUUAUAAAUCUGAAAGUUUGGUAAGAUAAUUUUUUAAGUUUACUAUUCAGGUUUGGGCUUAUUUAAAUCCCAAAAUAAAAGUCUUGUCCUUAUCCUGAAAUAGAAUGCGUAGACAUAUAUAUAACCAGCAAAACAUAUAAGAGUAACAGAAGUACUGUAACAAUGCCACCACCUCUUUUCUUUCUUACAUCUACAAAUGACUUGAACCAGAGAGCGGUUUGCUUUGUGAGCAGGUAGUGAAGAUACAAACUUAGUAAAUAAAAUGUAGUAGUAGACAUUAAAGAUUAUGGUCCUUAAUGUCUACUACUAUAUUUUCUUCUUAGCUCUAGCGAUUAAGCAAGCGUCAGCUACCAGAAACGACAUCCUGUAAUUGUGGAUAUACAACGUUGUGUUUAUAUAGUGAUACAUUAAGAAGAAGAUCCGAUAGUUUGUUUUACAAAAAAAAGAAGAAGAUCCGUUUGUUCUGAGUCUUUAACUAAACUUUUAACAUUAUCAAAUGGCAAAGAAAACAGCAGAGCAUCCCAAAAGGUGGUGAUGACAUGAUUGUUUGGAAUAAAGGUGGUGAUGAAAUAGAUGAUAGACCAAGCACGGUCACUUCCAGGGGAUAAAGGUCUUCCUAAGCACAUGCAUUUGGUCACGCUCAUAAGCAAUGAUUCUCUUGAGAGGAGAAAAAAAAAAGAAAUCUCAAACUCCAUAGCCAGUUGCUACAUCAGAGCUAUAAACACACAUGAUCAAGAGGCUAAGCAAUAUGGAUUACAACCAGAAACGGGAGAGAUGUGGCCAAUACAUGGAAGCUCUUGAAGAAGAACGUCUCAAGAUUCAUGUCUUCCAACGUGAACUCCCUCUUUGCUUAGAUCUUGUAAACCAAGCUUUCACAGGGAUAAAAUCCACACGGCUCAUCUGAAGUUGAAACGCCGGAACAAUCUUGCUUCCGCAGCUACAAAAACUUCCUAACCAGUCAAAGCUUCCAAGUCUCGCUUUACACUUAGGACACAGUAACUUUCCUUCAGGCAGAUCAUCUUCUACAGCUGACAUAGCAAGAGAAAAUCAGACUAAUCAAGAAACCACUACAGAUCUACAAU